rnacentral:rRNA from 1 species
UACGUAGGAGACGAGCGUUGUCCGGAAUUACUGGGCGUAAAGCGCGUGUAGGCGGAUGAGCAAGUCUGCUGUGAAAGCUCCUGGCUUAACCGGGAGUGGUCGGUGGAAACUGCUCGUCUGGAGGACGGUAGAGGUAGGUAGAAUUCCCGGUGUAGUGGUGAAAUGCGUAGAGAUGUGGAGGAACACCGAUGGCGAAGGCAGCCUUCUGGGCCAAUACUGACGCUCAUGCACGAAAGCGUGGGGAGCAAACAGG